rnacentral:rRNA from 1 species
GGACUCGCACAAGCGGUGGAGCAUGCGGUUUAAUUCGAUGCAACGCGAAGAACCUUACCAGGUCUUGACAUCCCAUUGACCGGCUUAGAGAUAAGCCUUUCCUUCGGGACAAUGGUGACAGGUGGUGCAUGGUUGUCGUCAGCUCGUGUCGUGAGAUGUUGGGUUAAGUCCCGCAACGAGCGCAACCCCUAUCAUUAGUUGCCAUCAUUAAGUUGGGCACUCUAAUGAGACCGCCGGUGACAAACCGGAUGAAGGUGGGGAUGACGUCAAAUCAUCAUGCCCCUUAUGACCUGGGCUACACGCGUGCUACAAUGGCCAGUACAAAGAGUUGCGAUACCGCGAGGUGGAGCUAAUCUCAUAAAGCUGGUCUCAGUUCGGAUUGUAGUCUGCAACUCGACUACAUGAAGGUGGAAUCGCUAGUAAUCGCGAAUCAGAAUGUCGCGGUGAAUACGUUCUCGAGUCUU